CGGAGCGUGGCGCAGCCAGGUAGCGCACUUGACUGGGGGUCAAGGGGUCGGCGGUUCGAAUCCGCCCGCUCCGACCA
rnacentral:tRNA from 1 species